GUGUGAUUCUGGUACUGACAGGGUGGCCUCCGUGAGAGCUGCUCAGUUUCGCUUUACUUUGCCGCACCUUUUCAGAGGCGAAGGACGGUGAUCUGGGGGAGAAAAAGGGCCGGAUGUGCCAUCCGGAAACCCUAAAUUGGAGUCUAAAGCAGCAUGGGACACGUUCAGCUUCCAAUUUCCGCACCACUGCUAAGCCAACGGAAUGUGGAUAAGUAAAUGACAAUAAUGCUUCAAUAUUCGUUAUUCAAGCUGAUCAAACGCACUAAAUUUGCAUUAGACUUAACCAAACUUUUGUUGCAAGAAUUCGAGUUCCGCCUAUUACCUCAAUGAGCAAAACCAAGAAAAAGCCUUGCAUCCCAGUGUAUGGCACAAGGAUGGAGGGCAAAAAGGUCUAUACAGUAAUGAGUAUCACAAGUCGCAGACGCUGCUGUGGCCCUGUGAACUACAGGGACCAGGCAUUCAAGGCAUCCUCCAGAUCUCCAACUGAUUCCUCCUUACAACCGGAUCUCCGCUGUAUCAAUGGAUGAGAACUUUUUAACUCUUUCCUGUAUUUAGCCUUUGGACGUCAACUAGCUGAUAAAGAUCACCUCGUCUUUGCUUCUGAAAUGGAAGGUACGUCCUGUAUAUAAAAUACGAAAUGCGUCAAGUGAGUGAUACCAGUGACAGGAGACGAGCACAGAAAUAAGAUGGUGGUACGUUAGCAGCACAUGCUCGCUAGGAUGUGCUUCAUUUGUUUCUCUUUCUUUUCCUUUUAGUUGGCAUCUACUUUCAUUCCAGAUUUGAGGAAUGAUUUGGCAUGCAUUUCAAAGUAUCAAAGCAAUAUUGAAGUUCUUUCCUUCUCGGUAACAAAAAGAAACCGUUCACAUC